CUUUUCCGCAACUGCUUCGACCGCCCUCUGCCUACACGGGAGGGGAAGGAAGGCAGGGAAAGGCACAGGUGCAGCCGGCACUUACCUGCUCCCUCUCUGCUUCGGCUGCCCGGCGCGGGGCUUGCUGAAAUCAAGCCAACAGUUUUCCAUCCCACAGGAAAAUAUGAAAAGAAAAGCAGUGCUAUGGGAAGAAACCUCUUCAAGGACCUCAAGCAGAGCAAUUACAUUAUGGCAGAAAACAGAUGGCAGAUCCGAGUAUGGACAACUAUCUUGUAUUGACAAUGAGCUAUACUGAAGAGGCCUUGCUCUGAAGGAAUAAAGAAUGUCUGCAUUGUGCACACAAUCUUGUGCUGAAUAUUUACAUUUGCUUCCAAGAGUUUAGACUCCAGUAAAUAAGGAUUAUGCGGUGGAUCUGCCCUUACAAAGGUCCGUCAUUGUUCAGUGCUUCCUGUGUCAAUGUGUUCCUACAGCAUGAAGAUGUGACAGCAGACACCUGACAGCUGAAAGAUUUGCUUCACUGCAUGCAAGUCUUUGAGCAUGACUUUUGAAGCUUAGUAUAAUUUGGCUCCUAAGCAUUUAGAAUCAGCUUAAGAUCAACUCAUAUCUUAAGAUUAUAAAUAAUUUCUUCCCCUUAUGACCACCAUAUCCCAGCUGCUAAUAAAAAACCAUGCAUCUAUAUAUAAAUAUUAGGCUUUAUCACUGAUUUAUAUCUAAUACUGUGGUAAUCUAGUUAAGGAAACAAUACACACUACUUAAUGAAGUUGUUAGUAAGGUAUUGGAGGCCUUUGGUGACUUUGUUACUGCAUUAACAUUUGUGUUGCUGUAAAAGGAAAUUAUGCACGUGAUGGACUCAUCUGUCAAUAUUUUACUAUAUUGUGUAAUACAA